AUUUUCUCCUAUUUAUAUUUCCAUGGCCCUGCAUACCUACCCCUACUGGAAAGGGGCUUACUAGAGUGUAUUCCAGAUAUUUGUUCAUGCUGUCCUGCUACUGACCAGUGAGGUUUUGACAUCAGAGACCCAGGUCCUAGUUCAUCCCACACCUGCUCUGCUCAGGCCAGCGUCUGGUCUGUGGUUUUACGCUUAGUAAAUAUCAGCAUGUUUAGCAAUGCUUUA
rnacentral:lncRNA from 1 species